rnacentral:lncRNA from 1 species
GUCUCUCUGAACCCCUCCGACCGUCCAAGCUUCCGGACUUCUCCGACAAUGAGCUUCUCCAUCCAUCUACCAUGCCGCUCCAAAGGCUCUCUAGGCCUCACUGUCAGCCGACCUUCUACAGUGAUCAACUAUUCUCCGAACUCCUUCCGAACUUCAUCAAUAUCUGAGCUUCUUCGACAACGAGGUUUCUACAGUAAUCGGACUCCAUCCGAGUUUCUACAGCGGUCGACUGCCUUUAAGAUUUUGACCAGGCUCCUGUGAGAGCCGAACUUCUACUAUGAGCGGUCUGCUCCGAACUCCUACAGUGAGCGGUCUGCUCCAAACUUCUACUAUGAGCGGUCUACUCCAAACUCCUACAGCGGACGGUCUACUCUGGAUCUCUACUGUAAGCAAAUUCCAUUCAAGCCCCUACUGUAAACAUAUCUUUUUCGAACUUCCAUUAUAGGUAGACUUCAGUCGAGCUUCUUCGUAGCCGGAUCCCAGACGAGCUUCUACAGCGGGACAAGACCCACCG